rnacentral:rRNA from 1 species
GACGAACGCUGGCGGCGUGCUUAACACAUGCAAGUCGAACGAAGAGCGAUGGAAGCUUGCUUCUAUCAAUCUUAGUGGCGAACGGGUGAGUAACGCGUAUCAACCUUCCCUUCAGAGGGGGACAACAGUUGGAAACGACUGCUAAUACCGCAUACGAUCUAAUCUCGGCAUCGAGGAUAGAUGAAAGGUUGCCUCUACAUGUAAGCUAUCACUGAAGGAGGGGAUUGCGUCUGAUUAGCUAGUUGGAGGGGUAACGGCCCACCAAGGCGAUGAUCAGUAGCCGGUCUGAGAGGAUGAACGGCCACAUUGGGACUGAGACACGGCCCAGACUCCUACGGGAGGCAGCAGUGGGGAAUCUUCCGCAAUGGACGAAAGUCUGACGGAGCAACGCCGCGUGAGUGAUGACGGCCUUCGGGUUGUAAAGCUCUGUUAAUCGGGACGAAAGGCCUUCUUGCGAAUAGGGAGAAGGAUUGACGGUACCGGAAGAGAAAGCCACGGCUAACUACGUG